GUCAAGCGAACAAGUGCAUGUGGUGGAUGCCUUGGCGAUCACAGGCGAUGAAGGACGCGGUAGCCUGCGAAAAGCUUCGGGGAGCUGGCAAACAAGCUUUGAUCCGGAGAUGUCCGAAUGGGGAAACCCGGCCCGAAUGGGUCAUCCCACACUGAAUCCAUAGGUGUGGGAAGCGAACGCGGCGAACUGAAACAUCUAAGGUACCAAUC
rnacentral:rRNA from 1 species